UGGACCAGUGACCCGGACGUGCCCGACGCCAAAGACAAAGAACCGGGGAAAGAACCAAACCCGCCCCACCCAGCCCGUCGACCACCGCACCCCUGGUCACCCGGUCGAGUGAUCGCGUCGAAUUCCGCUGGCGUGUCGGCGAAUUGGUCAGGCAGCGUCGAUCUCGGCGAAAACAGCCGCACACCAACUCGACGAACAACCGCACACAGCAAACGGCCCCCGCCGGGACUGCAAUCCCGAGCGAGGGCCUGAUCACCCAGGAAGAAGAGACCUUCCCG
rnacentral:ncRNA from 1 species